AAACAAUUGCGCCAAGCCAUAGCGGGCUGGCAUUCAUCCGCUACCAAAUCUGUAACUGCAUAAAGCUCCCGACGAUCUUCCAUUACAAAAUAAUCAUUCAACAAGAUUAUCAUUCAUAUUUUCCAAGAGAAAAUCACUCUGCCAACUGCUCUUCUUGUCUGUGCUCUUGGGUCCUUAGGCCGGCCGUAGAGUGAGUUGCCAAUCCGAUCCACUCAGGGGAUCCUGCAAGGAAAUUCAGUAUUUUCGUUCAGUGACACAAAAAACUUGAGAAAGCGGCUGAUGGAACGACGAACAAGACAAGGGGGAGGUAGAAAUACGUACAGGGAGCAGUCAAAGUCGGGGCUGGUCGGGAGGAACCCGACGCUGAGGCCGCACGCGGACGGGAGG
rnacentral:lncRNA from 1 species